GACGAACGCUGGCGGCGUGCUUAACACAUGCAAGUCGAACGGAAAGGCCCUGCUUUUGUGGGGUGCUCGAGUGGCGAACGGGUGAGUAACACGUGAGUAACCUGCCCUUGACUUUGGGAUAACUUCAGGAAACUGGGGCUAAUACCGGAUAGGAGCUCCUGCUGCAUGGUGGGGGUUGGAAAGUUUCGGCGGUUGGGGAUGGACUCGCGGCUUAUCAGCUUGUUGGUGGGGUAGUGGCUUACCAAGGCUUUGACGGGUAGCCGGCCUGAGAGGGUGACCGGCCACAUUUGGACUGGGAUACCGGCCAGACUCCUACGGGAGGCAGCAGUGGGGAAUAUUGCACAAUGGGCGGAAGCCUGAUGCAGCAACGCCGCGUGCGGGAUGACGGCCUUCGGGUUGUAAACCGCUUUCGCCUGUGACGAAGCGUGAGUGACGGUAAUGGGUAAAGAAGCACCGGCUAACUACGUG
rnacentral:rRNA from 1 species